rnacentral:tRNA from 1 species
CGUCGGCCUGGGCGGCGGCGUCGGCUUGGCCGUCUGCGUCGGCCUGGGCGGCGGCGUCGGCUUCACCGUUCGCGUCGGCGUCGGCGUC